GACGAACGCUGGCGGCGUGCUUAACACAUGCAAGUCGAACGAUGAACUUGGAGCUUGCUCUGGGGGAUUAGUGGCGAACGGGUGAGUAACACGUGAGUAACCUGCCCUGGACUCUGGGAUAACUUCGAGAAAUCGGAGCUAAUACCGGAUAGGACCUUGCACCGCAUGGUGCGGGGUGGAAAGUUUUUCGGUUUGGGAUGGACUCGCGGCCUAUCAGCUUGUUGGUGAGGUAAUGGCUCACCAAGGCGUCGACGGGUAGCCGGCCUGAGAGGGUCACCGGCCACACUGGGACUGAGACACGGCCCAGACUCCUACGGGAGGCAGCAGUGGGGAAUAUUGGACAAUGGGCGGAAGCCUGAUCCAGCAACGCCGCGUGAGGGAUGACGGCCUUCGGGUUGUAAACCUCUUUCAGCAGGGACGAAGCGCAAGUGACGGUACCUGCAGAAGAAGCACCGGCCAACUACGUGCCAGCAGCCGCCGUAACAC
rnacentral:rRNA from 1 species